UACGUAGGGUGCGAGCGUUAAUCGGAAUUACUGGGCGUAAAGGGUGCGCAGGCGGUGUAUUAAGUCUGACGUGAAAUCCCCGGGCUUAACCUGGGAAUGGCGUUGGAGACUGGUACGCUUGAGUGUGUCAGAGGGGGGUAGAAUUCCACGUGUAGCAGUGAAAUGCGUAGAUAUGUGGAGGAAUACCGAUGGCGAAGGCAGCCUCCUGGGAUAACACUGACGCUCAUGCACGAAAGCGUGGGGAGCAAACAGG
rnacentral:rRNA from 1 species